AUUGAACGCUGGCGGCAUGCCUUACACAUGCAAGUCGAACGGCAGCACGGGUGCUUGCACCUGGUGGCGAGUGCGAACGGGUGAGUAAUACAUCGGAACAUGUCCUGUAGUGGGGGAUAGCCCGGCGAAAGCCGGAUUAAUACCGCAUACGAUCUACGGAUGAAAGCGGGGGACCUUCGGGCCUCGCGCUAUAGGGUUGGCCGAUGGCUGAUUAGCUAGUUGGUGGGGUAAAGGCCUACCAAGGCGACGAUCAGUAGCUGGUCUGAGAGGACGACCAGCCACACUGGGACUGAGACACGGCCCAGACUCCUACGGGAGGCAGCAGUGGGGAAUUUUGGACAAUGGGCGAAAGCCUGAUCCAGCAAUGCCGCGUGUGUGAAGAAGGCCUUCGGGUUGUAAAGCACUUUUGUCCGGAAAGAAAUCCUUGGCCCUAAUACGGUCGGGGGAUGACGGUACCGGAAGAAUAAGCACCGGCUAACUACGUG
rnacentral:rRNA from 1 species